AUUGAACGCGUUGCUUCGAAGGUCCAGAUGUUAAAAAGAAAGGCGGAACAGUUUUUCUCUGAUUUACUUCCAUAAAUCUCCGUUUAAAAGGCAGUGUUACCGUAUAUGUUUGACCAAAUCUUGAGUUGAUCUUUGGACUUCAACCCAAAAUGAAAACGAUCCCGAAGACCUCGCAAAAGUCAUGAAAGAAAGAGCUACAAAAGCCAAAUGUCGAUCGAGAAAUCUAAACCUAGCGAAGAGAGAAUAUUUACAUCUCCCCAUUUACGUGCAAGUUAAGGUAUUAGAAUACGUUUAUGACCACAAAUAACGCGCUGGCUUUAUAGCAUAACACAAACAAAG